GGGGAAUAUUGCGUAAUGGGGGAAACCCUGACGCAGCAACGCCGCGUGAGUGAGGAAGGACUUCGGUCUGUAAAGCUCUGUUAAUGUGGAAAAAUGGUAGUUGGUCUAAUAGGCCGAUUAUUUGAUGGUACACAUAGAGGAAGCACCGGCUAACUUCGUGCCAGCAGCUGCGGUAAUACGAAGGGUGCAAGCGUUGUUCGGAUUUAUUGGGCGUAAAGCGCGCGUAGGCGGACCUGCAAGUCAGAUGUGAAAUCUCGGGGCUCAACCUCGAAACUGCGUCUGAAACUACAGGUCUAGAAUCUUGGAGGGGGAAGGGGAAUUUCGCAUGUAGGGGUAAAAUCCGUAGAUAUGCGAAGGAACACCAGAGGCGAAGGCGCCUUCCUGGACAAGUAUUGACGCUGAGGCGCGAAAGCGUGGGGAUCAAAC
rnacentral:rRNA from 1 species